AGCAGCCGCGGUAAUUCCAGCUCCAAUAGCGUAUAUUAAAGUUGUUGCAGUUAAAAGCUCGUAGUUGAAUUUCGGGGUUAGCAGGUCGGUCGUGCCAUCGGUAUGAACUGGUCUCGCUGAUCCCUCCCUCUUGACGAACUGUGAUGCCAUUAAUUUGGUGUCGCAGGGAAUCAGGACUGUUACUUUGAAAAAUUGAGUGUUUAAAGCAGGCUCACGCUUGAAUACAUUAGCAUGGAAUAAUGAAAUAGGACGUUUGAUCCUAUUUUGUGGUUUCUAGGAUUGACGUAAUGAUUAAUAGGGAUAGUUGGGGGCAUUAGUAUUCAAUUGUCAGAGGUGAAAUUCUUGGAUUUAUUGAAGACUAACUACUGCGAAAGCAUUUGCCAAGGAUGUUUUCAUUAAUCAAGAACGAAAGUUAGGGAUCGAAGACGAUCAGAUACCGUCGUAGUCUUAACCAUAAACUAUGCCGACUAGGGAUCGGAUGAUGUUAAUUUUUAAUGUACUCUAUUCC
rnacentral:misc_RNA from 1 species